AAAAAAAAAAAUUAAGGUUUUCUUCUUUUUUUGGUUAUUUUUCAGGCAAAAUGUAAGAAACAUACAUGAGUUGGGACAGUAUGGCAGGGAAGCAACCUACAGGCCUGAAACAUCAAAGCCAUACAACAAAGAGGAAGAUCCAUCUUUUUCUUCUCGGGGUUUAAAUGGUCAGUAGCACCAAGGUGAAGGUGCAUUACCGCCACCUAGUGUGUAGGAGUGUGAGUUCAAGUAACUUUGUAACUGGACAGAAAAAUAAAAAUCUCUUUAACAUUCCAGUUUGUCUCAAAAAACCAAUCACGUCUCCAUUAAAACUCCCAACAGCCCCCUCAGACUUAACCCUUCUCCCUCUGGUAGCUUCAGUCUACCCUCUAGUGCCCAUCUUUCUGAAGCAUCCGCCAUGAAAAGAGGUCCUCUUUUAUAGGGGGUUAGCCCCACCCCUUCACCAAACCAACCCAAUUACUGAUCAGAAUCAAACACGUAUCAUAAGAAACAAAAAAAAAAUCACAUGCAUUUUACUAAUAACGAAUUCAAACAUAAAUAAACAAAAAUAUUGCUUCAAUUUAACAACAAUUUAUGGAAACUAAAUUAGAUGGGUCCACUGAACUUGCUGGAAAAGUCAAGUGAAAACCAAAAACUAAGUAAAGUGAAAUGCAAUAGAUGUUACUGCUGAACAGUGUGUGCAGCCAACGAUGCAAUCAAAAUCAAAUCCAUUUUAUUAAGCUGUCACAUAGUGACAGACAUCUGGUCUGUCACACCACUUUUGUGUAUAAUUGUUUUUUUUAAGUCUAAAAACUAUAAAGGUCAAUAAAAAUAACACAUGCUCACAAUUAUUUAUUGUUUCAUGACCAAAAGCUUAUGAAAAAAAAAUCUAAGCACUCAGGUGAGGGCCAUCUUUACUGGGUUGCAUACCGCAUUUUUAGCACUAUAAAUCACUCCAGAGUUUAGGUCGCAGCAGAAAAAGAAAUUGCACAAUAAAGAAAAAAAGAAUUUAAAAUCACUGGAGUAUAAAUUGUACUUAUGGGAGAUUUUUUUUUUUUUUACAAAAUACAGUAACAAUAACAGACAGUCCGGAUUAAGAUUGAGCGGCACUUCCUCUGUGUUGCUGUCAGUAGUAAAUAUUGAAUUCAAGUGAAGGGCCUUCUUUUGUUAUUUAUUUUUUAACAAAAUCAAAUUUAAGUCGCACCUGAGUUAAAAUCUCACCCUUGCCAAACUGUGCAAAAAAAAA